UGGGGAAUUUUGGACAAUGGGCGCAAGCCUGAUCCAGCCAUGCCGCGUGUCUGAAGAAGGCCUUCGGGUUGUAAAGGACUUUUGUCAGGGAAGAAAAGGCUGUUGCUAAUACCGACAGCUGAUGACGGUACCUGAAGAAUAAGCACCGGCUAACUACGUGCCAGCAGCCGCGGUAAUACGUAGGGUGCGAGCGUUAAUCGGAAUUACUGGGCGUAAAGCGAGCGCAGACGGUUACUUAAGCAGGAUGUGAAAUCCCCGGGCUCAACCUGGGAACUGCGUUCUGAACUGGGUGACUAGAGUGUGUCAGAGGGAGGUAGAAUUCCACGUGUAGCAGUGAGAUGCGUAGAGAUGUGGAGGAAUACCGAUGGCGAAGGCAGCCUCCUGGGAUAACACUGACGUUCAUGCUCGAAAGCGUGGGUAGCAAACAGGAUUAGAUACCCUGGUAGUCCACGCCCUAAACGAUGUCAAUUAGCUGUUGGGCAACUUGAUUGCUUAGUAGCGUAGCUAACGCGUGAAAUUGACCGCCUGGGGAGUACGGUCGCAAGAUUA
rnacentral:rRNA from 1 species